GGGGAAUAUUGGGCAAUGGGGGAAACCCUGACCCAGCAACGCCGCGUGAGGGAAGAAGGUUUUCGGAUUGUAAACCUCUGUCCUUAGGGACGAAGAAAGUGACGGUACCUAAGGAGGAAGCUCCGGCUAACUACGUGCCAGCAGCCGCGGUAAUACGUAGGGAGCAAGCGUUGUCCGGAAUUACUGGGCGUAAAGGGUGCGUAGGCGGUUUGUCAAGUCGAAUGUGAAAUACCGGGGCUCAACCCCGGGGCUGCAUUCGAAACUGGCAGACUUGAGUGCAGGAGAGGAAAGCGGAAUUCCUAGUGUAGCGGUGAAAUGCGUAGAUAUUAGGAGGAACACCGGUGGCGAAGGCGGCUUUCUGGACUGUAACUGACGCUGAGGCACGAAAGCGUGGGGAGCAAAC
rnacentral:rRNA from 1 species